GCCAGGUGCAUUGGUGCAUGCCUGUAAUCCCUUGGCUCAGGAAGCUGAGGCAGGAGGAUCACAAGUUCAGAGCCAGCCUCAGUAAUUUUCUGAGGCACUGAGCAACUCAGUGAGAUCCUGUCUCUA
rnacentral:sRNA from 1 species